rnacentral:rRNA from 1 species
UACGUAGGUGGCGGGCGUUGUCCGGAUUUACUGGGCGUAAAGAGCGCGCAGGCGGUCGUUCAAGUCGCGUGUGAAAGCCCCCGGCUCAACUGGGGAGGGUCACGCGAUACUGAUCGACUCGAAGGCAGGAGAGGGAAGUGGAAUUCCCGGUGUAGUGGUGAAAUGCGUAGAUAUCGGGAGGAACACCAGUGGCGAAGGCGACUUCCUGGCCUGUUCUUGACGCUGAGGCACGAAAGCGUGGGGAGCAAACAGG